UCUUCCGCAAUGGACGAAAGUCUGACGGAGCAACGCCGCGUGAGUGAUGAAGGCUUUCGGGUCGUAAAACUCUGUUGUUAGGGAAGAACAAGUGCUAGUUGAAUAAGCUGGCACCUUGACGGUACCUAACCAGAAAGCCACGGCUAACUACGUGCCAGCAGCCGCGGUAAUACGUAGGUGGCAAGCGUUAUCCGGAAUUAUUGGGCGUAAAGCGCGCGCAGGUGGUUUCUUAAGUCUGAUGUGAAAGCCCACGGCUCAACCGUGGAGGGUCAUUGGAAACUGGGAGACUUGAGUGCAGAAGAGGAAAGUGGAAUUCCAUGUGUAGCGGUGAAAUGCGUAGAGAUAUGGAGGAACACCAGUGGCGAAGGCGACUUUCUGGUCUGUAACUGACACUGAGGCGCGAAAGCGUGGGGAGCAAACAGGAUUAGAUACCCUGGUAGUCCACGCCGUAAACGAUGAGUGCUAAGUGUUAGAGGGUUUCCGCCCUUUAGUGCUGAAGUUAACGCAUUAAGCACUCCGCCUGGGGAGUACGGCCGCAAGGCUG
rnacentral:rRNA from 1 species